AACCCACUGGGCCACAAGGGAACACCCUUUGACUUUUUUAAAGUAAUGGAUUAUUUAAAACUUAAGUCACUCAAUACUUUGUGCCUAAGUUGCCUUACCCGUAAAAUAGAUCAAGCAGCUAGCAUGGGAUUAUGAGGAUUGAGUGAGUUCCUGUGAUAGUCAUUAGAAGGAUAUCUGACAUAAGUAUAUAAUAUACUAGUUUUAUCAUGAUUUUUUCCACCUGAACCCCGUAUUUCCAAUACUAGAUUAAUAACCUAAUUGGCUUCUUUUUUGGGAUGUUUGGAGAUUGGGGGAAGGAAAGGAAAAAAUAUAGGCUGAAGUGCCAAAUCCUCAUCAACAAAAAAAAGGGUAUAGCAUACCAACAGUGGCCAGAUUUUAAGAUGACAAAGCACCCUAAAAGUAAUAAAAUUUUUAUACAUAGACACAUGCAUGGAUCUGCACAUUUACAUCCACAUUAGCAUCCAAAAUGUGAGUUUUGAAGUAGAGCAGAAUGUGUGAGGAAAUCUCUAAAAGCAUAAUGAAAUUUGAAGAGCAAACUGCAAAUGCACGUAGGAAAGUACUGCCACAAAAAUGUCAUGACUGUCAAAGGGGCACCAGGCCUGGAGGAAAGAAACUAGGAGCAGGACAACUCCCUGCAGCAGCUGAUAGAAUGACUGCAUGCCAGCCUCUCAGCAGAGGCCUUGAGGCUAGAGCAGAGAAAUGGAUGGGUGAACAGAGAAGGCAAUGCCCAAGGGCCCUCACUUGGAAAUGUCCUGCCCAUCUGUAACCGCCUCUGAAAACAGUGCAAAUUUUACCUCUUCCAUGAAAAGGAUCCCAUAAAAAACUGCGGCAGAAUAGUCUUAACAGUGAAUAUCUACUUUAAAGAUGAGAAUACAAUCAAGACUCCAAAAAUCUGAAUACCGACAGUGUAAAUAAAGAAGAGGUACGAAAACAAAUGGAAGAGCCAUCUCAAGAAACAGUUAAUGGGUUUACAGAAUAUGGACUUACAGAUCUUCAAAAUAACUAACAUUGCCAAGAAAAACAGGCAAAAGUCCUCUCCAGAGAGCCCUCAGAAAUGAAUUUAUCCUACAAGAAUACCGAGGCUGUCUGUAUAUACUUGAACACAUUAUAUUAUUUCAUGGGUUCAUGACAAGGUCCUGUUCUCACUACAGUCUUGCCAGAAUUGAUGAUUACAAUGUUUAAUAUUAAUAUUAUGUGGGAGUUCCCAUCAUGGCACAGCGGAAACG